GAGGCCACCUCCGUGCCACUUGCCUUCUCUGGUUGAGCUGGUGUCACACCAGAAGAACACCCAAAGAGUGUUUUGUUGGAUAGCCGAAGCUGGAAUUCCUUCAGCUCCUCUUUCGGCAGUAGCUCCAGAUUCUUCCUUCUCCUGGGAUCUGGACUCUUGGAAUCAACCCUUGAGACACAGCACUGAGAGGAGUUUCUUCAUCAGCAGAGAAGAUAUCAUAUGGGAAGCUCUCUAUUAGAGUGGUUGUAAGGAUUAACUGAGAGAGUUCACGUAAACAGAGAAAAUUGUGAGAAGAAAAAGGAUGACGUUUCUGCCCCAGGGAGGUCACGGUCUAAAGGAACAGUUGACUGACAUGAAGACCAGUGACCCCAGAUUACAGAUAGAAGACUCCAGAAGGCCCCAGACUUCCUAUUGAGAAGUCCGAGAUGGGGUGUGUGUGUGUUGGAGAUCCCAUGUACACCCAUGGGAGCAGCUGAUACCGGGUCCUGGAUAAUAGCUGUCACCUUAGGGCAUGGCCUUAAUGUGGCCAGCUCUCCUGACUUUCCAAGAGCCCGGGAAGAGGACCGGAAGCGAGUCUCUUCCUGGAUCCCACAUUCCGGUUCCUGUGUCAGAGUCCAAGGCAGGACAUUGUGGAGGGAAACGCUGGCUUGAACCAUCCUGUUCUCCACCUGCCUCUGCUUCCUUCGUGAGUUCCUCAAAGCGCCACACUUCUAGAUGGUCUCGGAGGGGGUCUGGUGCAGGAAGAAGCUGAAACCUGUGCUGUUGUAUUAUUUAGCUCAGGUGGCCACAAUAAAAUACCACAGACGGAGAACUUAACAGCAGACAUUUGUUUUCUACAGGAGGCUGGAAGUCUGAGCAGGGAGCCAGCAUGGCUGGGCUCUCGACUCUUCCUGGCUCAACCUCCUCUCUGUGUCUUCACCUGGUCUCUCCUUUGUGCCAGUUGGGGUGGGGGUGGCAUGAGCAAGCUCUCCUUCGACUCUCCUUAUAAAGACACUAAUUGCACCUCGAGGCCCCCACCUAACCCAAAUUACCUUCUAAAGGCCCCCAUCUCCUAAUGCCAUCACCUUGGGCAUUCA